UACGUAGGGGGCAAGCGUUGUCCGGAUUUAUUGGGCGUAAAGAGCGUGUAGGCGGCCAUACAGGUCAGCUGUGAAAACUCGAGGCUCAACCUCGAGACGUCGGUUGAAACCGUAUGGCUAGAGUCCGGAAGAGGAGAGUGGAAUUCCCGGUGUAGCGGUGAAAUGCGCAGAUAUCGGGAAGAACACCCGUGGCGAAGGCGGCUCUCUGGGACGGUACUGACGCUGAGACGCGAAAGCGUGGGGAGCGAACGAGGA
rnacentral:rRNA from 1 species